rfam:Aedes aegypti strain Liverpool supercont1.342 genomic scaffold, whole genome shotgun sequence.
UGUUCUGUAUUUUAGUUGGUUAAAGCGCCGGUCUAGCGUACACGGAGUCGUGAGUUCGAGUCUCACUAGAACGC